rnacentral:tRNA from 1 species
GGCGACAUAGCUCAGUGGUUAGAGCGAUUCACUCAUAAUGAAUAGGUCCUUGGUUCAAAUCCAAGUGUCGCCA